rnacentral:rRNA from 1 species
UAGGUAGAGAAUACCAAGGCGAUCGAGUGAAUCGUGGUUAAGGAAUUCGGCAAAAUACCCCCGUAACUUCGGGAGAAGGGGGGCCCUGAUCGUGAUCCCACUUGCUGGGUGAGCGUGAUCGGCCGCAGAGACCAGGGAGGAGCGACUGUUUACUAAAAACACAGGUCCGUGCGAAGUCGCAAGACGAUGUAUACGGACUGACGCCUGCCCGGUGCUGGAACGUUAAGGGGACCGGUUAGUACGUAAGUGCGAAGCUGAGAACUUAAGCGCCAGUAAACGGCGGUGGUAACUAUAACCAUCCUAAGGUAGCGAAAUUCCUUGUCGGGUAAGUUCCGACCUGCACGAAUGGCGUAACGACUUCUCCACUGUCUCAACCACGAACUCGGCGAAAUUGCACUACGAGUAAAGAUGCUCGUUACGCGCAGCAGGACGGAAAGACCCCGGGACCUUUACUACAGCUUGGUAUUGGUGUUCGGUACGGCUUGUGUAGGAUAGGUGGGAGACUGUGAAGCGCUCACGUCAGUGGGUGUGGAGUCAACGUUGAAAUACCACUCUGGUCGUUCUGGAUAUCUAACCUCGGUCCGUGAUCCGGAUCAGGGACAGUGCCUGGUGGGUAGUUUAACUGGGGCGGUUGCCUCCUAAAAAGUAACGGAGGCGCCCAAAGGUUCCCUCAGCCUGGUUGGUAAUCAGGUUUUGAGUGUAAGUGCACAAGGGAGCUUGACUGUGAGACAGGCAUGUCGAGCAGGGACGAAAGUCGGGACUAGUGAUCCGGCGGUGGCUUGUGGAAGCGCCGUCGCUCAACGGAUAAAAGGUACCCCGGGGAUAACAGGCUGAUCUUGCCCAAGAGUCCAUAUCGACGGCAUGGUUUGGCACCUCGAUGUCGGCUCGUCGCAUCCUGGGGCUGGAGUAGGUCCCAAGGGUUGGGCUGUUCGCCCAUUAAAGCGGUACGCGAGCUGGGUUUAGAACGUCGUGAGACAGUUCGGUCCCUAUCCGCUGUGCGCGUAGGAAACUUGAGAAAGGCUGUCCCUAGUACGAGAGGACCGGGAUGGACGAACCUCUGGUGUGUCAGUUGUUCUGCCAAGGGCACCGCUGAUUAGCUACGUUCGGAAGUGAUAACCGCUGAAAGCAUCUAAGCGGGAAGCACGUUUCAAGAUGAGGUUUCCAGGCCCGCGAGGGCGAGAGGCUCCCAGCUAGACCACUGGGUUGAUAGGCCGGACGUGGAAGCACAGUAAUGUGUGGAGCUGACCGGUACUAAUAAGCCGAUAACUUG